rnacentral:rRNA from 1 species
UGGGGAAUUUUGGACAAUGGGCGCAAGCCUGAUCCAGCCAUGCCGCGUGCGGGAAGAAGGCCUUCGGGUUGUAAACCGCUUUUGUCAGGGAAGAAACGCUCUGGGCUAAUACCCUGGGGUAAUGACGGUACCUGAAGAAUAAGCACCGGCUAACUACGUGCCAGCAGCCGCGGUAAUACGUAGGGUGCAAGCGUUAAUCGGAAUUACUGGGCGUAAAGCGUGCGCAGGCGGUUAUGCAAGACAGAUGUGAAAUCCCCGGGCUCAACCUGGGAACUGCAUUUGUGACUGUAUAGCUAGAGUACGGUAGAGGGGGAUGGAAUUCCGCGUGUAGCAGUGAAAUGCGUAGAUAUGCGGAGGAACACCGAUGGCGAAGGCAAUCCCCUGGACCUGUACUGACGCUCAUGCACGAAAGCGUGGGGAGCAAACAGGAUUAGAUACCCCCGUAGUCCCUGAGCGGGCUGGCAAGGCG